GACGAACGCUGGCGGCGUGCUUAACACAUGCAAGUCGAACGGAAAGGCCCUGCUUUUGUGGGGUGCUCGAGUGGCGAACGGGUGAGUAACACGUGAGUAACCUGCCCUUGACUUUGGGAUAACUUCAGGAAACUGGGGCUAAUACCGGAUAGGAGCUCCUGCUGCAUGGUGGGGGUUGGAAAGUUUCGGCGGUUGGGGAUGGACUCGCGGCUUAUCAGCUUGUUGGUGGGGUAGUGGCUUACCAAGGCUUUGACGGGUAGCCGGCCUGAGAGGGUGACCGGCCACAUUGGGACUGAGAUACGGCCCAGACUCCUACGGGAGGCAGCAGUGGGGAAUAUUGCACAAUAGGCGGAAGCCUGAUGCAGCAACGCCGCGUGCGUGAUGACGGCCUUCGGGUUGUAAACCGCUUUCGCCUGUGACGAAGCGUGAGUGACGGUAAUGGGUAAAGAAGCACCGGCUAACUACGUG
rnacentral:rRNA from 1 species